AUUGAACGCUGGCGGCAGGCUUAACACAUGCAAGUCGAGCGGAGAUGAGGUGCUUGCACCUUAUCUUAGCGGCGGACGGGUGAGUAAUGCUUAGGAAUCUUCCUCGUAGUGGGGAAUAACCUGGGGAAACUCAGGCUAAUACCGCAUACGAACUACGGUUGAAAGCAGGGGAUCGCAAGACCUUGCGCUAUGAGAUGAGCCGAAGUCGGAUUAGCUAGUUGGUGAGGUAACGGCUCACCAAGGCGACGAUCCGUAGCUGGUCUGAGAGGACGACCAGCCACUGGGACUGAGACACGGCCCAGACUCCUACGGGAGGCAGCAGUGGGGAAUAUUGGACAAUGGGGGCAACCCUGAUCCAGCGACGCCGCGUGUGUGAAGAAGGCCUGCGGGUUGUAAAGCACUUUUAGUGGGGAUGAAAAGCCAAGGGCUAAUACCCUUUGGUCUUGACCUAACCCAAAGAAAAAGCACCGGCUAACCCUGUGCCAGCCGCCGCGGUAA
rnacentral:rRNA from 1 species